GGACGACAGAGCGCAAGAGACUAUAUUUUACAUUUGUUUGGAAAACUUUAUGAGUGCGCGCAAAGCGAAAGGAAACAUGAGUCAUGAAGAGACACAGGAGGAAAGAGAUUAUAUUAAACCUGGAAAAUAUUUUAGAAGAUCAAUUAAGUUUUCAGGAGCACAUUAAAUACAGAACGAUGUAAAAGACAACUUGACUACACCAACAUAUCAAAAAUCGAAUGAGAUGCGCUCUUUUUAAAAGAGUUGAUUUAAUGACAAAAUCAAUAUGAGAGGUCAUGGACAUGUUCCCAUUUCUUCGGGUUCCACAACUUCUGCUGCAUGAAGUGAAGAUGCGGUUUGGGAAGGACCUUCAUCUUAAUCUAGAGACUGCUCUUCAAGUUCUGAACAGUUUAAAUUAGGUUAAAUUUAUGCAUUUAGCAGACGUGACUAACAGUGCAUUCAGGCUAUCAAUUU